rnacentral:rRNA from 1 species
UACGUAGGGUGCAAGCGUUGUCCGGAAUUAUUGGGCGUAAAGAGCUCGUAGGCGGUUUGUCGCGUCUGCUGUGAAAUCCCGAGGCUCAACCUCGGGUCUGCAGUGGGUACGGGCAGACUAGAGUGCGGUAGGGGAGAUUGGAAUUCCUGGUGUAGCGGUGAAAUGCGCAGAUAUCAGGAGGAACACCGAUGGCGAAGGCAGGUCUCUGGGCCAUAACUGACGCUGAGAAGCGAAAGCAUGGGGAGCGAACAGG